UUUGAUCCUGGCUCAGAUUGAACGCUGGCGGCAUGCCUUACACAUGCAAGUCGAACGGCAGCACGGGGGCAACCCUGGUGGCGAGUGGCGAACGGGUGAGUAAUGCAUCGGAACGUGCCCAGUCGUGGGGGAUAACGUAGCGAAAGCUACGCUAAUACCGCAUACGAUCUAUGGAUGAAAGCGGGGGACCUUCGGGCCUCGCGCGAUUGGAGCGGCCGAUGUCAGAUUAGGUAGUUGGUGGGGUAAAGGCCUACCAAGCCGACGAUCUGUAGCUGGUCUGAGAGGACGACCAGCCACACUGGGACUGAGACACGGCCCAGACUCCUACGGGAGGCAGCAGUGGGGAAUUUUGGACAAUGGGCGCAAGCCUGAUCCAGCAAUGCCGCGUGCAGGAUGAAGGCCUUCGGGUUGUAAACUGCUUUUGUACGGAACGAAAAGGCUCUGGCUAAUACCUGGGGCUGAUGACGGUACCGUAAGAAUAAGCACCGGCUAACUACGUG
rnacentral:rRNA from 1 species